CCUACGGGUGGCAGCAGUGGGGAAUAUUGCACAAUGGGGGAAACCCUGAUGCAGCGACGCCGCGUGAGUGAAGAAGUAUUUCGGUAUGUAAAGCUCUAUCAGCAGGGAAGAAAUAGCGACCUUUGGGUCGCCAGACGGUACCUGACUAAGAAGCCCCGGCGAACUACGUGCCAGCAGCCGCGGUAAUACGUAGGGGGCAAGCGUUAUCCGGAUUUACUGGGUGUAAAGGGAGCGGAGACGGCAGCACAAGUCUGAAGUGAAACGCCGGGGCUUAACCCCGGAACUGCUUUGGAAACUGUGCAGCUAGAGUGCAGGAGAGGUAAGUGGAAUUCCUGGUGUAGCGGUGAAAUGCGUAGAUAUUAGGAGGAACACCAGUGGCGAAGGCGGCUUACUGGACUGUAACUGACGUUGAGGCUCGAAAGCGUGGGGAGCAAACAGGAUUAGAUACCCUGGUAGUC
rnacentral:rRNA from 1 species